rnacentral:rRNA from 1 species
CGUGUAGGCGGCUUAUUAAGUUGGAUGUGAAAGCUCCUGGCUUAACUGGGAGAGGACGUUCAAAACUAGUAAGCUUGAGUACGAGAGAGGAAAAUGGAAUUCCGGGUGUAGUGGUGAAAUGCGUAGAUAUCCGGAGGAACACCAGUGGCGAAGGCGAUUUUCUGGCUCGAGACUGACGCUCAGACGCGAAAGCUAGGGUAGCAAACG